AGUGAACGCUGGCGGUAGGCCUAACACAUGCAAGUCGAACGGAAGCACCGUACGAGCUUGCUCUUCCGGGUGGCGAGUGGCGGACGGGUGAGGAAUACAUCGGAAUCUACUUUUUCGUGUGGGAUAACGUAGGGAAACUUACGCUCAUACAGCAUCCGCCCUACGGGUGAAAGCAGGGGAUCUUCUGACCUUGCGCGAUUGAAUGAGCCGGUGUGGGGUUAGCUAGUUGGCGGGGUAAAGGCCUACGCGGGCGACGAUCGGUAGCCAGGCUGGGGGGAGGGUCACCGACACGGAAGCUGAGACGCGAUCAGGCGCCUACGGGAGGCAGCAGUGGGGAAUAUUGGACAGUGGGCGGAAGCCUGGUCCAGCCAGACCGCGUGGGUGAAGAAGGCCUUCGGGUUGUAAAGCCCGUUUGUUGGGAAAGAAAAGCAGCAGGUUAAUACCCCGCGGUUCUGACGGUACCCAGAGAAUAAGCACCGGCUAACUUCGUG
rnacentral:rRNA from 1 species